rfam:TPA: Bos taurus chromosome 25, whole genome shotgun sequence.
UUCCUGGUGGUCUGGUGGCUAAGGCUCUGUGCUCCCACUGCAGGGAGCCCAGGUUCAAUCCCUGGUCGGGGAA